CCAAAAACCUAUCACGCUCGGCUUGCCGUGCCGCUCCUGGAAGAAUGAGCUUCAUUCUAUGAUUCUUCAUUGCGAUCUACAAUCUAUCUGCAUUCCAUCAACAGUCAUUCACUGAUUGGCUUGCCCGGCUGGUGUUCGAUGAUGAGCCCGAUCGAAUGUAUCAUCAACAAUAGUAUUCAUGCACACCUCAAUGUUACCCGACACGAGCAGCAUCUAUUUUCAUCCCGCCGAUCGAUUUCACUCACUUCCAUAACACCCCAAAAAUCGAUUUGUCCGGAACAUAUCCCAGAUUAACUUUAUGUUCUAUUAUUCUUGACUAAUAAAGUGAUCAAUUAUUGCGGGAACAGGUCCUGUUCAAAGCCAUUUCUGACUCAGAUUUGAAGAAGUGGGAGAAUGCAGGUGUGUUACAUGCUGAGAUGGGACUUAAUUGGCGAGAUGCGUAAGCGAAAUCAAGUCUCAAUUCCCUCGGUCGCUGCAUCAACUUGUGGCAAUGAUUCUGAUGAGCGGCAACGUAUCGCCUUGUAGAGUUGGGUGAUCGCCCGACAUGGUCAACGCAAAACUAUACAGAGUGAUCGAAUAUGGGCCAUGGAAGUCUUCGAUGCUUAAUUUGGGUGACAAGCAACUUAGUGAUAUGAUGCACAAUACAGGUAGGAGGAUACGUUCGAGUAUGGCAGAAAAAUGCGUGACGCCAAGUGUGAAAACCUGAAUCCCUUUACGUUCUCUCAAAAAGUAAAAUACAUGCAGUAGUUAG
rnacentral:sRNA from 1 species